CCUACGGGUGGCUGCAGUGAGGAAUAUUGGUCAAUGGGCGCAAGCCUGAACCAGCCAUGCCGCGUGCAGGAUGACGGUCCUAUGGAUUGUAAACUGCUUUUGCACAGGAAGAAACACUAUCUCGUGAGAUAGCUUGACGGUACUGUGAGAAUAAGGAUCGGCUAACUCCGUGCCAGCAGCCGCGGUAAUACGGAGGAUCCAAGCGUUAUCCGGAAUCAUUGGGUUUAAAGGGUCCGUAGGCGGUCUAAUAAGUCAGUGGUGAAAGCCCUACGCUCAACGUAGGAACGGCCAUUGAUACUGUUAGACUUGAAUUACUUGGAAGUAACUAGAAUAUGUAGUGUAGCGGUGAAAUGCUUAGAGAUUACAUGGAAUACCAAUUGCGAAGGCAGGUUACUACAAGUGGAUUGACGCUGAUGGACGAAAGCGUGGGUAGCGAACAGGAUUAGAUACCCAAGUAGUC
rnacentral:rRNA from 1 species